rnacentral:rRNA from 1 species
UACGUAGGUGGCAAGCGUUGUCCGGAUUUAUUGGGUUUAAAGGGUGCGUAGGCGGCUUUGUAAGUCAGCGGUGAAAUACUCUAGCUUAACUAGAGGGGUGCCAUUGAUACUGCGGAGCUUGAGUACAGAUGAGGUAGGCGGAAUUGACGGUGUAGCGGUGAAAUGCAUAGAUAUCGUCAAGAACACCGAUAGCGAAGGCAGCUUACUGGGCUGUAACUGACGCUGAUGCACGAAAGUGUGGGGGAUCAAACAGG